GUGGGGAAUAUUGGACAAUGGGCGAAAGCCUGAUCCAGCCAUGCCGCGUGUGUGAAGAAGGUCUUCGGAUUGUAAAGCACUUUAAGUUGGGAGGAAGGGCAGUAAGUUAAUACCUUGCUGUUUUGACGUUACCGACAGAAUAAGCACCGGCUAACUUCGUGCCAGCAGCCGCGGUAAUACGAAGGGUGCAAGCGUUAAUCGGAAUUACUGGGCGUAAAGCGCGCGUAGGUGGUUCGUUAAGUUGGAUGUGAAAGCCCCGGGCUCAACCUGGGAACUGCAUCGAAAACUGUCGAGCUAGAGUACGGUAGAGGGUGGUGGAAUUUCCUGUGUAGCGGUGAAAUGCGUAGAUAUAGGAAGGAACACCAGUGGCGAAGGCGACCACCUGGACUGAUACUGACACUGAGGUGCGAAAGCGUGGGGAGCAAACAGGAUUAGAUACCCGAGUAGUCC
rnacentral:rRNA from 1 species